GAAAUAAUUAAAAAAGGCUUCUAACCUUUAAAAUAGAUUAGAAUAAUCUUUAUUUCU
rnacentral:tRNA from 1 species